GUAGCCCCGGCCCCGCGUCCUUACCCUGCCGACGGCUGCUCGGCUCCGGCCCGCGGCGGCGGCCCCAGAGCCGAGGACCGGGGUGGGCUCGCGCUCUUCGUCACUGGAGAAGUCCGGGGGCCCCUUGCUGUUGGUGCCGGCGGGGAGCGGCGGCCGGUUGCGAGCCGUGAGGUGCUGCAGGUAGAGCUGGACGUACACGUCUUUGCGCUGCUCCCCGGCCGGCAGCGUCACAUUGUUGGCGACCAACUCACUCUUCAACUUGUCUUUUGUCAGGACCGAGGGGUCUUCCAGGAACUCCGGCAUCUCGGGGAUCUGCGAAGCCCCCUCCCCACAGCCUUUGCCGCCGCCGCUCACGCCGGCGCGCUUGCUCCUGGCCGGGGACCGCGCUGCCGCCUCCGAGCCUCACGGCUCCUGCCCGGGAAGAGCGCUGCGGAGCGGAACAAAAACUCGCGGACACAAAGCCAAGCCAGACCCGGACACAAAAGACCCCAGAGCCGAACUACGAACCAACUGCGGCCAAGCUGGAAGCUCGCACCAACCCCAGCCCACACACUACAGGCAGGAGGCGAGCAGCCUGCUUCGCCCACGCCCCAAGAACGCGCGCCGCCAUUGGCGGGCGACGGGAGGAAGCGCGGCGGUGAUUGGCGAGACGGCUCGCGCGGGUUCCAUUAGCCGCCGCGCUGAGCGAGAGGAGGUAGAAACGCAGUUUAAAAGGCGCUGGGGCGGGAGCCGAGGCUCCCGGCCCGCUUCUGUUUUCGUUUUCUCCACCCUUCCCCUUAGACGCCGAUAAGGGACAGGUCGUACUGCUUUUGUGCGCCGUUUCCUCUCCCUCCCCCAGCUUGAGAAGCAGCUUUCGUCUCUGGGGUCGAUCGCCUACGAACGCGCCGAAUUCCACGCCAGUGUGAGGACCCUUGGCUGGGCCUUUCUUCCUCCCGGGACACUGAAGCUCCAAGAGUAGCCGCAGCCUUGCCUUCCCCAAACGCUAGCCCUGAAGGGGAAGAAAAGAAGCGAGGCUUGUCUGCAGGCACUCAUAUUCCUUGAUUUGAUUUACUUUGGGAGGGGGAGGGCGGGGAGUUACCCCUCUCCUCGCGAACGCUUCUUUUGUUCCAGAAACCCAGGGGAAGCCAGACCUCUACAAUCGGGCACUUAAAUUACCCUUGAAUUUGUGACAAAAGUGUACUAUACCAUUCACUUCUUAGUGUCAUAGUUGGGGCAUGUCUAAAUUGUUUAAUUUGAACAGUGCGUUCAGACGCAAGACAAAUUCGCGCUUGCAUUUUUGUUGAAACCGUCUCUGGCUUUGGAUCCCACCACCCGCAAGAAUCCUAAACCUAACGUUUGAUAACAAAACGAAGGAGAACCCUUGGGAACCCCCUCAAUGGUCAAUUUAAAAUAACAGAUGGUGCAUAAUCCUAAAGGAAGACUAGUGACCUAUAAUUAGGCCUAGAACCCUAAUCAAACCCGUAUUACCGAUCCAAAUUAAAACCUGGUAGAAUCUAAUACAUUGACUGCAAUUAAAAUGUUUGCCUGGAAAUUAGUAUCACUGAUGACAAAUAUUUGUAUUUCUGAUGAAUAUGUAUGUUUAAAGAUGCUUUCUUUCUAGAAAGGAAAGGAGACCUUGGAUGUAGGGUGUGUUAAUCAUUUCCCCAGAAUCUGAGCUCCAAACUAUGUUUUAGAAACUGGUUAAAUUUUUUUUAAAUGUUUGCCUGCUUUCUACAUUGCUAGGUUAGAAUACAUUUAAAACAAACGCCUUCACUAAAAAUGUUUCCUAUGAUUUAAGCGACUUACUUUUAUUCAAAUUGCGAUAUUAUUUCUUUUAGUGAUAAUUAUUUUCCUAGAGGUAACUAAUUCCUUUAUAAAAAUCUCAGUAUUCACAUACAUUUAAGCAAUGGUAUUAAGCUCAAUAAUGCAAAUUAAAAAUCAGGUUUUAAUUAGCAAGUUGUUAGGUAGGUUUUUAUGAUCCCUUGUAAAAGUUGCUUGGUUUUUUGUCCUCACAGCUUCCCUGGACACAUAGGCAAAUGUUUUUAUCUUCAGAAGGGGAACUGAGCUGAGAGGCAAAGGACCAUGACUUUGCAAUGACUGGUAACCCAGUACGUAUAAUGCAAGAACUGCAUUCUAGAUACGCCUGAAAUUAAUGUUUCCUGGGCAAAAACAUUUUCAUUAUCUUUUUUUUAAUCCCUGGACAUUAGCUACAGGUGGUUACUUGCAGAUUUACUGCUGUAGAGCUCCAAAAUUGAGAUUACACUUUUCAGAUUCUGCGUACCCUAAGGCUAAGAGGUUGGGCUAUUGAGUUUGGGUGGUCUCUUUGGUCCUGAUUGCUACUUCCAAACCAUUUCUGCUCUUUUCUGCUUCAAAAAUAUUUGAAGUUCAUAUCUUCUGGCUAAAUCACUUUCUACUCUCCUUCCUGCCAUCAUCCACGAGCCUCCUGGUCACUUUCCAGAAAUUAUAGAGCUGCUUGCCGUAGGUUUUCCUCACCAUCCCUCUUGUCUACAUUCUAUCUGAAUUCAGCAUGCUUGUAGGUGACCCAUGCAACACCAACACUUGGCCUCUUAGACCUCUGACCUCUUCAUCUCCAACAAUUUGUUCCUCUCUUGCGUCUUAACCACUUCGGUAUCAGUCAGAUUCUGAACCUUGUCAUCAGUUGAAAUCUCAGUUUCAAGCUUCCCAAUUGUCAAUCACUAGCCUUUUUUUCCCAGCUAAUUUAUGGUACUCUCACUUACCUAAUUAAGACCUCCACGCUAUUAACCCCAACACUUAAAAAAACUCAACUCUUCUGCUUCUGCCAUCAUGUAAUAAUUUUGCAACUCACCUGACUUAAAUUCCCUGAUCAGUCCUUUUCAUCACUCUUUUACAAACAUUUUCAACUCUCUGAUCUCAAUGUCUCCUUUUUUGCUUGAAAGAAUCUCAGCCUUGCUUGGACUAAACCAUGCUCCAGCUGAACUUUCUCAUUGCUUACAUCCAAACAGCAAAAGCUGCUGGAGAAAAGUCAGUCAUAUAACAAGCUAACUGGUUUUAAUUCAUGACCUCAGUCCUCUCAGGAGCACUCAACACUGGCUGGCAAUGCUAUUCCAGUCUCUGGGUUAACCAUUCAUACGUUCACAUCUCCUCAAAUUUCACAUCCUUUUUCCCUACCUCUCAUUUUUAGCUGGUGACCUUGCCUCAACUUCAAAAAAUAAAAACCACCUAUGAGGAAUGCUUCAACGUCAGACUUUCCAAUUUGCAUUCAUUUUCUCUUGCAUUUUUCUUUUCAGUGAAAGAUGUGUCCUGUCAGAAGGAAAUUCCACCACUUGUACUCUGGCUCUCACCCUUCUCAAGGAAUUGACUCUUUCCAUCAUCUCCUUAAUACUUGUUUCAACAUAAAAGAUAAUUUUUAAAAUAUUUGAUCAAUGUGACACAAAAAACACAAAGGCUGAGCACUGUGGCUCACGCCUGUAAUCCCAACACUUUGGGAGGCUGAGACAGGCGGAUCCCUUGAGCUUAGGAGUUCAAGACUAGCCUGGGCAAAACAGUAAAACCCCCUCUCUACAAAAAAAUACAAAAUUUAGCCAUGGUGCCCACCUGUAGUUCUAGCUACUAGGGAGACUGAGGUGGGAGGAUCACUUGAGCCUGGGAGGUUGAGGCUGCAGUGAGCCAUAAUCCUGUCACUGCAUUCCAGCCUGGGUGACAGAGUGAGACCCUGUCUCUAAAAUCAAUAUGUGUAAGAUGUAGAUUGGUCCCUUCCAGAAAGGCGGGACAACUAUUAAUAAAAGUGGGGGUUGGGGGGCUCGGGGUGUUCCAGGUCAUUGGUAGAUAAAAGUAAUUUU
rnacentral:lncRNA from 10 species